ACCAAAAUAUUCAGGGCUGUUGAGAAAUGUUAGUGUUCACACCCAAACUACAGAGCCUCGGAUGUAAGAACACCAUAACCACAGGCCUCAGCUUCCCCAUCUCUAAGAUGGGCAGAAGUAUUUUGCCAAAGCAAUGCCUGAAUGUGAUUUCACUUUCACGCGGCCAGGGACGCCAAAGAUUUACUUCAACUUGUUCAUUUUACACAUGACGGCGUCAGCAUCAGCCAGUGCCUGCCUGGGGACAUACCGACGUGACCACGCAACCGAAUGAAAGCUCCUGUGGAGAGGAUGUAAAAGGCGGCGCUGCAGUGCCUGGAGCAGAUGACAGAGCCCAGCAGCCACCUCGCAAGGGCGUUGGUGACUUAAAACAACAGACAUUUAUUCUCUUCCAGUUCUGAAGGCUAGAAGUCCCAAACCGAGGUAUCGGGUGGGUUGGGUCCUGCUGGAGGCUCUGAGGGAGCUUCUGUUCCAUCCCUCUCUCCUAGCUUCCAGUGCUUGUCAGCAAUCCUUGGCGUUCCUGGGCUUGUAGCUGCAUCACUCCAAUCUCUGCUUCUGUCAUCACACGGCCUUCUCCCCGUGUAUCUGUGUCCAAAGUUCCCUCUUCUUACAAGGACACCAGUCCUUGGAUUAGGGCCCACCAUCAUCCAGUAUGACCUCAUCUCGACUGAUUACAUUGGCAAAAACCCUGUUUCAAAUAAGGUCAUGCUCAUAGGUUCUGGGUGUACAUGAGUUUGGGUAGGGACACUAAUCAACCCAUUAAAGGGACUUCCCUGGCGGUCCAGUGGUUAAGACUCCGUGCUUCCACGGUAGGGGGUACGGGUUUGAUCCCUGGUCAGGGGACUAUGAUCCCGCGGGCCGCGUGGCACGGCCACAAAUAAACAAACAUAAAAAAAAUCCAUUACACAUAACUUGUCUGA